UAAUUCCAUCCAGGCUACUUGUCUCACCCUGCCUUCCCAAGGAGGCGGUCCCCAAAAGAAGCCAUUAGAACUAAUUAACAAUUACCACUACUAUACUACUACACCUCACAGGGGAAAGGUGCAGCCAUUCUCCCUAGAGAGACACUGGGCCCUGAGGAGUUGGCUGACUCUCCUAAGGACAGUGGGCUCUUCCAAGCUGCCCUGGUGGGGUGUAUCCAGCCUCCCAACUCUCAGAAAUGACACAUCUCCCUACUAGUACUAAGUAAACAGGGCAGGAAGUCGCGUUUGGGUGGUAUUUUUCUGGGCACUAGCCCACGGCAGCUGGAGAGCCAUCUCAUGUCUGUCCACAACCCUAGAUUCCCGCCCUCUGUUUUGACUGUCUGUGCCUCCUGUCUUUGCCUCCCUUCUUCCUUAGCUCCUGCCUUUCACCCACCUUCCUUUCCUAGCUCUGAAUCAUAGCUGUCAGACCUGCUAGCAUGGCCAGGCUGCGAGCCAGGGGCCUGCCCUUGUGUACAAAGGAGGCUGGGAGCUGGAGAAAGGAGGGAAGUGGUGAGGGUCCUGGCCAGACUGAGGAAGGCUGGUUCCUUUCCUCACGCCCACUGGGACCUGACCAUCUAUGCAGAUGGCCACAGCCAGGCCUGUUAUUAUUGGAGAAUAGCCCAUCUGGCAAGCUCCCUGCCUGGGUUCCAGCCAGCACCCACACCCCAGGCAGCCUCAGCUGGUCACUGGUGCCAGGGCCCUCUGCUGGACAGCCCUGGGGACCCAGCUCAUACAGGCCUGGGCCUGGACAGGUUCUUAGGCAGGUCUACCAGGCCUUUCCACCUUCCUCAUUCCAUGUUUCUCUCCUCUGUCCCUAAGGUUGGGAUGUGAAGGUUGGUCCACCUGGCCAGAUGUUCUCCGCCCAGGCUGGAACAGGCUCAUCUCCACCUCCCCCAUUAGAAGAAAAACAUAUCCUUCCUGAAGAGGCGGUAGAUUUGGAUUCUGCUGAACUACAUCCUCCUCAAAGGGCCCGCUGGCCGCGACACCGCAGAACCCUGCAGUCCCGGUCUCAUGUGCUCUAGUUUCUGCGGACUUUUGUAGGAAGUAUCUGGAGGAGAGAAAAGUUCUGCAGGGUCUGGCAGGUGGGGUGGGAGCGGGAAGUUGGAGCUCAGCUUGGAUGUCAUCCCUUUCCCAGUUUCUAUAGGAACCUGUAGGGGGAUCCCCAACUUGAUUGGGGAUCGCGACAGAGGCCUGCAUUCCUCACUAUCUACAUUUUAACCUACAGCCCAAGACAUUCCUGAAAGAAUUAUUGUGUGGGAAUCAUAAUCAAAUUAUCCAGAGGAUCUUACUACACAUGCCCAUCCAUGUAUGCACUCACACACACACACACACACACACA